GAUAAACGCUAGCGGCAGGCUUAACACAUGCAAGUCGAGGGGCAGCAUACAUUGUAGCAAUACAAUUGGUGGCGACCGGCGCACGGGUGCGUAACGCGUAUGCAACCUACCCGUCACAGGGGGAUAAUCCUGAGCAAUCUGUUCUACUACCCCCUAACAUAUGGAUCGGCAUCGGUUCAUGUUGAAAUUCUCGGAGGUGACGGAUGGGCAUGCGUAGCAUUAGCUUGUUGGUGAGGUAACGGCUCACCAAGGCGACGAUGCUUAGGGGGACUGAGAGGUUUUCCCCCCACACUGGUACUGAGACACGUACCAGACUCCUACGGGAGGCAGCAGUGAGGAAUAUUGGUCAAUGGGCGCAAGCCUGAACCAGCCAUGCCGCGUGCAGGAUGACGGCUCUAUGAGUUGUAAACUGCUUUUGUACGAGGGUAAAGUGGGUUACGUGUAACCUUUUGAAAGUAUCGUACGAAUAAGGAUCGGCUAACUCCGUGCCAGCCGCCGCAGUAA
rnacentral:rRNA from 1 species